rnacentral:rRNA from 1 species
UACGAAGGGGCUAGCGUUGCUCGGAAUCACUGGGCGUAAAGGGUGCGUAGGCGGGUCUUUAAGUCAGGGGUGAAUCCUGGAGCUCAACUCCAGAACUGCCUUUGAUACUGAAGAUCUUGAGUUCGGGAGAGGUGAGUGGAACUGCGAGUGUAGAGGUGAAAUUCGUAGAUAUUCGCAAGAACACCAGUGGCGAAGGCGGCUCACUGGCCCGAUACUGACGCUGAGGCACGAAAGCGUGGGGA